GAACGAUGAACCACUUCGGUGGGGAUUAGUGGCGAACGGGUGAGUAACACGUGGGCAAUCUGCCCUGCACUCUGGGACAAGCCCUGGAAACGGGGUCUAAUACCGGAUACUGACCCGCUUGGGCAUCCAAGCGGUUCGAAAGCUCCGGCGGUGCAGGAUGAGCCCGCGGCCUAUCAGCUUGUUGGUGAGGUAAUGGCUCACCAAGGCGACGACGGGUAGCCGGCCUGAGAGGGCGACCGGCCACACUGGGACUGAGACACGGCCCAGACUCCUACGGGAGGCAGCAGUGGGGAAUAUUGCACAAUGGGCGAAAGCCUGAUGCAGCGACGCCGCGUGAGGGAUGACGGCCUUCGGGUUGUAAACCUCUUUCAGCAGGGAAG
rnacentral:rRNA from 1 species